rnacentral:tRNA from 1 species
GCCCUCGUGGUGAAAUGGAUAUCACAACAGGCUUCGGACCUGUGGGUGGGGGUUCGAUUCCCUCCGAGGGCA